rnacentral:rRNA from 1 species
UUAAGCGACUAAGCGUACACGGUGGAUGCCCUGGCAGUCAGAGGCGAUGAAGGACGUGCUAAUCUGCGAUAAGCGUCGGUAAGGUGAUAUGAACCGUUAUAACCGGCGAUUUCCGAAUGGGGAAACCCAGUGUGUUUCGACACACUAUCAUUAACUGAAUCCAUAGGUUAAUGAGGCGAACCGGGGGAACUGAAACAUCUAAGUACCCCGAGGAAAAGAAAUCAACCGAGAUUCCCCCAGUAGCGGCGAGCGAACGGGGAGGAGCCCAGAGCCUGAAUCAGUGUGUGUGUUAGUGGAAGCGUCUGGAAAGGCGCGCGAUACAGGGUGACAGCCCCGUACACAAAAAUGCACAUAUUGUGAGCUCGAUGAGUAGGGCGGGACACGUGGUAUCCUGUCUGAAUAUGGGGGGACCAUCCUCCAAGGCUAAAUACUCCUGACUGACCGAUAGUGAACCAGUACCGUGAGGGAAAGGCGAAAAGAACCCCGGCGAGGGGAGUGAAAAAGAACCUGAAACCGUGUACGUACAAGCAGUGGGAGCACAGAGCAAUCUGUGUGACUGCGUACCUUUUGUAUAAUGGGUCAGCGACUUAUAUUCUGUAGCAAGGUUAACCGAAUAGGGGAGCCGAAGGGAAACCGAGUCUUAACUGGGCGUUAAGUUGCAGGGUAUAGACCCGAAACCCGGUGAUCUAGCCAUGGGCAGGUUGAAGGUUGGGUAACACUAACUGGAGGACCGAACCGACUAAUGUUGAAAAAUUAGCGGAUGACUUGUGGCUGGGGGUGAAAGGCCAAUCAAACCGGGAGAUAGCUGGUUCUCCCCGAAAGCUAUUUAGGUAGCGCCUCGUGAAUUCAUCUCCGGGGGUAGAGCACUGUUUCGGCAAGGGGGUCAUCCCGACUUACCAACCCGAUGCAAACUGCGAAUACCGGAGAAUGUUAUCACGGGAGACACACGGCGGGUGCUAACGUCCGUCGUGAAGAGGGAAACAACCCAGACCGCCAGCUAAGGUCCCAAAGUCAUGGUUAAGUGGGAAACGAUGUGGGAAGGCCCAGACAGCCAGGAUGUUGGCUUAGAAGCAGCCAUCAUUUAAAGAAAGCGUAAUAGCUCACUGGUCGAGUCGGCCUGCGCGGAAGAUGUAACGGGGCUAAACCAUGCACCGAAGCUGCGGCAGCGACACUGUGUGUUGUUGGGUAGGGGAGCGUUCUGUAAGCCUGUGAAGGUGUGCUGUGAGGCAUGCUGGAGGUAUCAGAAGUGCGAAUGCUGACAUAAGUAACGAUAAAGCGGGUGAAAAGCCCGCUCGCCGGAAGACCAAGGGUUCCUGUCCAACGUUAAUCGGGGCAGGGUGAGUCGACCCCUAAGGCGAGGCCGAAAGGCGUAGUCGAUGGGAAACAGGUUAAUAUUCCUGUACUUGGUGUUACUGCGAAGGGGGGACGGAGAAGGCUAUGUUGGCCGGGCGACGGUUGUCCCGGUUUAAGCGUGUAGGCUGGUUUUCCAGGCAAAUCCGGAAAAUCAAGGCUGAGGCGUGAUGACGAGGCACUACGGUGCUGAAGCAACAAAUGCCCUGCUUCCAGGAAAAGCCUCUAAGCAUCAGGUAACAUCAAAUCGUACCCCAAACCGACACAGGUGGUCAGGUAGAGAAUACCAAGGCGCUUGAGAGAACUCGGGUGAAGGAACUAGGCAAAAUGGUGCCGUAACUUCGGGAGAAGGCACGCUGAUAUGUAGGUGAAGUCCCUCGCGGAUGGAGCUGAAAUCAGUCGAAGAUACCAGCUGGCUGCAACUGUUUAUUAAAAACACAGCACUGUGCAAACACGAAAGUGGACGUAUACGGUGUGACGCCUGCCCGGUGCCGGAAGGUUAAUUGAUGGGGUCAGCGCAAGCGAAGCUCUUGAUCGAAGCCCCGGUAAACGGCGGCCGUAACUAUAACGGUCCUAAGGUAGCGAAAUUCCUUGUCGGGUAAGUUCCGACCUGCACGAAUGGCGUAAUGAUGGCCAGGCUGUCUCCACCCGAGACUCAGUGAAAUUGAACUCGCUGUGAAGAUGCAGUGUACCCGCGGCAAGACGGAAAGACCCCGUGAACCUUUACUAUAGCUUGACACUGAACAUUGAGCCUUGAUGUGUAGGAUAGGUGGGAGGCUUUGAAGUGUGGACGCCAGUCUGCAUGGAGCCGACCUUGAAAUACCACCCUUUAAUGUUUGAUGUUCUAACGUGGACCCGUGAUCCGGGUUGCGGACAGUGUCUGGUGGGUAGUUUGACUGGGGCGGUCUCCUCCUAAAGAGUAACGGAGGAGCACGAAGGUUGGCUAAUCCUGGUCGGACAUCAGGAGGUUAGUGCAAUGGCAUAAGCCAGCUUGACUGCGAGCGUGACGGCGCGAGCAGGUGCGAAAGCAGGUCAUAGUGAUCCGGUGGUUCUGAAUGGAAGGGCCAUCGCUCAACGGAUAAAAGGUACUCCGGGGAUAACAGGCUGAUACCGCCCAAGAGUUCAUAUCGACGGCGGUGUUUGGCACCUCGAUGUCGGCUCAUCACAUCCUGGGGCUGAAGUAGGUCCCAAGGGUAUGGCUGUUCGCCAUUUAAAGUGGUACGCGAGCUGGGUUUAGAACGUCGUGAGACAGUUCGGUCCCUAUCUGCCGUGGGCGCUGGAGAACUGAGGGGGGCUGCUCCUAGUACGAGAGGACCGGAGUGGACGCAUCACUGGUGUUCGGGUUGUCAUGCCAAUGGCACUGCCCGGUAGCUAAAUGCGGAAGAGAUAAGUGCUGAAAGCAUCUAAGCACGAAACUUGCCCCGAGAUGAGUUCUCCCUGACCCUUUAAGGGUCCUGAAGGAACGUUGAAGACGACGACGUUGAUAGGCCGGGUGUGUAAGCGCAGCGAUGCGUUGAGCUAACCGGUACUAAUGAACCGUGAGGCUUAACCUU